rnacentral:rRNA from 1 species
AAGGGUGCGUAACACGUGGGGAAUCUGCCGAGAAGUGGGGGAUAGCUCGCCGAAAGGCGAAUUAAUACCGCAUGUGGUUAGGGAAGACAUCUUUCCGACACCAAAGCCGGGGCAACCUGGCGCUUCUUGAUGACCCCGCGGCCUAUCAGCUAGUUGGUGAGGUAACGGCUCACCAAGGCUAUGACGGGUAGCUGGUCUGAGAGGACGACCAGCCACACUGGAACUGAGACACGGUCCAGACACCUACGGGUGGCAGCAGUCGAGAAUUUUUCUCAAUGGGGGAAACCCUGAAGGAGCGACGCCGCGUGGAGGAUGAAGGUCUUCGGAUUGUAAACUCCUGUCAUUUGGGAACAAUUGUUUCACAUUAACUGUGUGGAAUUUGAUAGUACCAGAAGAGGAAGAGACGGCUAACUCUGUGCCAGCAGCCGCGGUAAUACAGAGGUCUCAAGCGUUGUUCGGAUUCAUUGGGCGUAAAGGGUGCGUAGGUGGCUAGGUAAGUCAGGUGUGAAAUCUCGGGGCUCAACUCCGAAACUGCACUUGAUACUGCCUGGCUCGAGUACUGGAGAGGAGAUUGGAAUU